UGAGCACAGCAAUAACAGCCACCACAGCAACGAUGGGAAUGGUCAGGUCAUUGGGCUUCUCUCCAUUAGGUCUUCUGAUCUCAGUCUUGCCCCAGUUGGUCUUGAUCACUUUUGGGUCCAGUUUGGUGACGAUGUCCUCCUUGACAC